CCUACGUGAGGCAGCAGUGAGGAAUAUUGGUCAAUGGCCGGAAGGCUGAACCAGCCAUGCCGCGUGAAGGGCAGGGCCCUAUGGGCGUUAAACUUCUUUUGUGCGGGAGCAAGAAUGGUCACGGGUGGCCAGACGAGAGUACCGUACGAAAAAGCAGCGGCUAACUCCGGGCCAGCAGCCGCGGUAAUACGGGGGAUGCAAGCGUUUUCCGGAUUUCAUGGGUUUAAAGGGUGCGUAUGCUGUGCGGUAAGUCUGCGGGGAAAUGCCCCCGCUCAACGGGGGGAAGUGCCAUUGAUACUGCCUUGCUGGACUGCGGCUGCCGUGGGUGGCAUGUGUGUUGUAGCGG
rnacentral:rRNA from 1 species